UGCCCGUUUCGGAAGUAUAGGAGGGUAAUUCGUUAGAAUUACAUCAAUCCCUGGAAAAGAAGUUUCCAACAUCUUCUUCAUUGUCUCUGCAUUUCCCCUGUAAGAGCAGGAGGCGCAGAACUUGAGCUCCACGGUGGUUCCAUAUCCGCCGGCGCCGACGGCGGCGAUGUGAGGAUUGACCUGUGCGGCGGCGGAGAAAUCGGGUGCCUGGUGGAUGGG
rnacentral:misc_RNA from 1 species